GAUUAUUGGGCUCUAAAAUAUGCACACAUCGCCCGUCGCUCUCAUGAUAAAGUGAGAUAAGUCGUAACAUAGUAGAUGUAUUGGAAAAUGUAUCUAGAAAGUCA
rnacentral:rRNA from 4 species